AUACGAAGGGGGCUAGCGUUGUUCGGAAUUACUGGGCGUAAAGCGCGCGUAGGCGGAUUGGUCAGUUAGGGGUGAAAUCCCAGGGCUUAACCCUGGAACUGCCUCUAAUACUGCCAGUCUUGAGUUCGGGAGAGGUGAGUGGAAUUCCUAGUGUAGAGGUGAAAUUCGUAGAUAGUAGGAAGAACACCAGUGGCGAAGGCGGCUCACUGGCAAGAUACUAACGCUGAGGCGCGAAAGCGUGGGGAGCAAACAGGAUUAGAAACCCUAGUAGUCA
rnacentral:rRNA from 1 species